rnacentral:rRNA from 1 species
GACAGAGGGUGCAAACGUUGUUCGGAAUUACUGGGCGUAAAGCGUGUGUAGGCGGCUUUGCAAGUCGGAUGUGAAAGCCCCGGGCUCGAACCCGGGAAUGCACUCGAUACUGCAGAGCUUGAGUGUCGGAGAGGUUGGUGGAAUUCUCGGUGUAGAGGUGAAAAUUCGUAGAUAUCGAGAGGAAACACCGGGCGGCGGAAGGCGGCCAACUGGACGAACACUGA